rnacentral:misc_RNA from 1 species
AACUGAUACUACCUGCGGGAACCUGCGGAAGGAUCAUUACCGAGUUUACAACUCCCAAACCCAAUGUGAACGUUACCAAACUGUUGCCUCGGCGGGAUCUCUGCCCCGGGUGCGUCGCAGCCCCGGACCAAGGCGCCCGCCGGAGGACCAACCUAAAACUCUUUUGUAUACCCCCUCGCGGGUUUUUUAUAUCUGAGCCAUCUCGGCGCCUCUCGUAGGCGUUUCGAAAAUGAAUCAAAA